rnacentral:rRNA from 1 species
CGGCGUGCCUAACACAUGCAAGUCGUACGAGAAAGUCGGCUUCGGCUGAUGAGUAAAGUGGCGCACGGGGUGAGUAACGCGUGGAUAAUCUGCCCUUGAGUGUGGAAUAACGUACCGAAAGGUGCGCUAAUACCGCAUAAUGCCUGGCAACACAAGUUGUCCGGCCAAAGAAGGCCUCUGUUUACAAGCUUUUGCUCAAGGAUGAGUCCGCGUACCAUUAGCUAGUUGGUGGGGUAACGGCCUACCAAGGCUACGAUGGUUAGCUGGUCUGAGAGGAUGAUCAGCCACACUGGAACUGAGACACGGUCCAGACUCCUACGGGAGGCAGCAGUGAGGAAUAUUGCGCAAUGGGGGCAACCCUGACGCAGCAACGCCGCGUGAGUGAGGAAGGUUUUCGGACUGUAAAGCUCUGUCGAGCGGGAAGAAAUGUACCAUGGCUAAUAUCCAUGAUAUUUGACGGUACCGCUAGAGGAAGCACCGGCUAACUCCGUG